UGUGUGUUGCCCACUGGCUUUUGGAAACUAGUGCCUGUGGUGUUAAAUGCUCAAAUUGGACAGUUAUCAGGCUUUUCUAUCCUUGAAUUUGAUCUCUUGUGUAUAGGAACUACACGAGUAACAGUG
rnacentral:snoRNA from 1 species